rnacentral:tRNA from 1 species
UUUUGCAGAGUUUUUAAACUAACAAGAGAUACUGAGGACACAUUAGAACUAGCAUCCCCUUAAAAUGUUAAUCAUCCAUAGUUUUUCAAAAAUAUUCCUCUGUUGAAAAUUAACAAAGUAAACACCCACUUUGAUAGCUCUUGCAAUGAUUAUAUUGAAGGCCACCUGUUCUGAAAGACGGGGCAAAGUUAUAACUAUGUCCGACUUGCUUUGAAUUUUUCUCUCUUCGUCAUUCUCUUUUAGUUGCCAUUUCAUGUCAUCUUUUCAACUAGUUAAACCAUUUAGGUUCUCUGUUGAAUUUUUAAAGGAAUGACUUGAAGUAUGAUAUUUUAUUUGAUUGUAUAGUUAUUAGCAGUGGGAAAUUAGAUGGAUUGGGUGUAAAUAGAUUUUUGAUGAAAAUUUAUUCAUCCAAUAACCAAUGGACCUUAAUAGAUGGGAUUUAAAUGGAUUAGACCAAUACGACAAUUCAAUAAGAUGCAAUUUUACAGAAUUGAAUUCAAAUUUUUAUCUACUACUGGACACAGCACGCCAACCUUCACAUCCUCAGCAAAUGGCUUGUUUAAAAAGUCAACUACUAUACCUCUUAUUAGAUUCAUUGAUUUUGACUAUAUAUUGUUAUAUUAUUUGCCUGUACUGAUUCUAUUAAUUUCUUUGUAUUAGUUCAAAAACAUAUGUAGGCAUAACUGAUACAAAACCAAGGCUGGGGAUGGGGGUGAGCAAGGGUGAAUUUCUGAAAUUAAACUAUAAACGUAUCGUGAGCUAGAGUCAUACCACUAGACCAAAUUCCACCAGUUAUCGCUUCUUUCCUUUUCUUUAUAUAAACUGUUCUAGCCAGCCUUUGAUGGUUUUGCUUCAAGAACCUUAUUCUCAAAACCAUUUGACCUAUUCCCCAUAGGCAAUCAAAGACACUUUGGUAACGUAGGCUACAGCGAAUGCUCUAGUUUUGGUUGAUAAAGAGUGAUACCUGCAUAUGAGUUGAGAAGUCCCCUCUUUAAAAAUUGAAGUUUGAGUUGUUAUAUUUGUUUUGAUUUUUGGAAAAAUAAUAAGCUAUGCACGGUAAUACACUUUGGUGUAAUGCUCAAUGGGUUUUAAUUUUCUGCAGGAUCUACAACUUCAUAGUUCUAAUGCAGUCUGUGCAAAAUUUACUUGAUUACAAUAGGAGACUUAAUUCUACCUAUACAACUUUUAUUACCAUUAUUUUUUGUUGUUAGUGGUGUUUCUGGUAAUGUUUUUCUUGCAAUAUAUCCAAACUUUAACAUUAAUGACAUGGCAUCUGUCGCUAUGUGUUGCCCACCUGAGAUUGAGCCACAGUGUCUCGUAGAUAUGUUUUACUACUCUGGCUAAUGAUUAGAGUCGAUUUAUGAUAUUUUUUAGUAAUUUAUUAUUAUUUUUUUGUCUCCCCUAAAUAUAAUUGAAAGAAACAAAAAUUAAUUUGUAGGUUUCAUGACCACCUCAAUUUGACUGGGAAUUAAACUGAGGACCUCGCAUAGCCAAAGGGAUAAUCAAGGCUUAUUUUUGUGAUUUGACAUUAUUGAAAGUAUUAACUUACUGAGGAUUAAGUUCACUUUGAGAUCCGAAAGUGAUAUGAUGUAACCGAACCAGAUAAGUGGAGUCAUUUUUCUUAUUGAAGAUGCAGGUACUCCCUGGCUGGCAUACGUUGUUUUGAAUCUUUUGAUCUGCUACUUGUAAAUUUCCUAUUAUUCAACUGAGCACAGCAAAUUUCGCAGGUCAGUGCCAGUACCAUUUACUAAUCAUGCUUCAGUUUCAGGAUUAGUUAUUUGGUGCAAAAAUUAAUUUCCACAGUGAGCAGUCAGUAUCUCUGUUAUUUUGGUGGUUAUAUAUUAUUAAAAUAUACAUUUUAAAUAUUCUGCUUCCACAAAAAUUAAUAUUUCUACAGUGAGCAGUCAGUAUCUCUGUUAUUUUGGUGGUUAUUUAUUACUAAAAUAUACAUUUUAAAUAUUCUGCUUCUGACCACACCUUGAAGUAAUAAUCUCUCAUUUUCUAUAAUCUGAAUCCAUGUAUUGUAGAAUCUUUCCAGAAGGACAUUGUAUUUGUGUCCAGAAAAUGCCCUUGUGCAGAGGUUCUCGUUCUCAUAUCUGAUGGCUUUACAACCAGAAACAGCAUUAGAUAGAGCUUUGAAAAUGAAUUAGGCAGCUAAAUAACUAUCUUCUGAUUCAGUUACAUUAUUGAGUCAGGUCACUGAAUCAACAAUAUUUAGUCCUUUCAGUGUGCAGUACAGUUUCCUCAUAAUGUUACAUAAUUGAGGUAAUUGAACAACUAUGUCUUAAUAGUUAACAAGGUUGCAUUAUUAAAUCUAGCUUUAGCAUUUGGAAUACCUGUGCUGGAUACUCUGUUUAUAAGUCUUGUUUCUUUUAUUUACAAUCAGACCUGUCCAGGUUGACAAGGGAAUAAAAAGGUGCUCUACGGCUGACAGAUAAUUUGUAAAAUGGGGCAUACGAGAAUUGAAAUCAGGACCUCCUGCAGCCGAAGUGAGAAUCAUACCACUAGACCAAAUGCGUUGUUGUAGUAGAAAAUUGUGUUCCUUGGACCUUGUUAUUUGCUUCUUGCUUUUUCUAAACUGUUCUAGAUCAGAAGAAGCUUUGAUGCCAGAAGCUAUAAUUAACAGACAGUUCUCUAGUUUUGGACAAUAAAAAAUGCAAAUGUGCAUAGAGUUUGUGACUUGUGAAGUUUCUUUUUAAAAUUGCAAUUUGAGUCGUGAAAAAUUUUUUCACCAUGCAGGGUAAUAGACUUUGGGAUAAUACUUGAUGUGGUGUAAUAAUAUGCAGGAUGUUUUGUAUGGGUGCUACUGCUUCCCUUGUCAUGUAUUCAUACUAGUUAAUAUUUAUGUUAUCGCCUCAGCCGCAAUCUGUUAACCUAGUCCUUGUUUGAUCCAUCUCAGUGUCUUGGAGAACUCUUUGUUCAUAGGGCUGCUGCUGCUAAUGCUUUUCUUUUGAUGUAUGCAUACUUGUGUUAGAAUUUUAUGGUAGGGGCCUUGGCCACAAUCUAUUGACCUUGUCCCUUUUUGAUCCAUAUCAGUAUCUUACAGAAGACCUCUGUUACCACUUUUGCAUAAUGACUGAGUUGACUUCACAUAUGACAUUAGGAGGCUUCCACCCGGAAUACAGAAUUGAGGAAUGCAAUUGUCAUUGUAGGUAUUUCAACAGAAAUUCAGUGACUAGUGGAAUUGUAAAUGAUAUGAUAUUGGAUAAUAGUAAUAAUACUGUAGAGGAAAUUAACAAUGUAAUAUGGAAAAGAGAGAUGACACCAGGCAUUCAAAAAGCCUGAGAUCACUCCCAGUUUUCUUUCAGAGAGUAUGGAUGAAUGAAAUAAUAUAAUUCCCUUCUCCCUUUAUCUAUGGUGAGAUUGCGCCACACUUAUUCAAGAAAUUUCCCCCCAACUUUCUCCCUCAAUCAACUCACAAAUUGUUAAAACAAUUUCAACAUAAUUACAAAUUCAACUCGAUUAAAUCUCUGGCAACAUGGACUCCUCUUUCCUUGCGUGAAUCAGUGACAUGAGCUUCCAGUUCUUCCCCUUUAGCUUGAUUUGCCCUUUUUUCUUCCUAGCAUAGGUGAAUUGAACCAGUGGCUUAUCAGAUAUCUUAUACUUGUUUUGCUGAAAAAUGGUUGAAAUAAAUUAAUAAAAGAAUAUAUAUUUAGGAUAAAUGACCACCUUAAUUUGAAUGGGGCAUUCUGAGAAUCGAACUCUGGACCUCUUGCACCAAAGCGAGAAUCAUACCGCUAAUGCCCAGUUGUAGUCAAUUAUUUUGUCCUUGAAGCCUGUAAUUUCUUGCUGUUUCUGUUUGUCGAUAGAUAAGGUAGGGGUAUUGCCAACACUACCACCACCACUCUGGGAUCUAGGUGGAGGCCUAACAGUCUCCUUGGCUUUGACGGUGUUUCAGAUUAAAAACAAAAUCUGUUCUAGUCAGCCUUUCGACUAAGCUCUUUGAUCUAUUCAUCAUAGGCAAUCAAAGGGAACUUUGAUCUCAGAAUCUACUAUUAAAAGAUAGUUCUCUAGUUUUGGGUGAUAAAAAGUUCCUACGUGCAUAUGUUGUUGCGAAGCACCUGUUUUAAAUUGCAGUCUGAGUUGUGAAAAUAUAAUGAUCUGUGGAAGGUAAUAGAAAUUAGAAUAAAUGCUCAAUGUGGGGUAAUUUUGUGAAGGAUUAUUUCCAGUGUUGCAGCUGCGCUAAUGCUUUCUUGAAAUAUAUUCAUACUUUUUAAUAUAUAUGAAUGAUAUGACCUCGGCCGCAAUCUGUUGACCUUGCCUAAGUUUGAUCAAUCUCAAUUUUUUGGAGAAGAUCUUUUUUACCACUCUGGCUUAAUGACUUAGUUGACUUUGUAUAUCAUCCUUGCUUUCUUGAAAUGUAUUCAUACUUUUUAAUAUAUAUGACAUGACCUUGGCCGCAAUCUGUUCACCUUGCCCAAGUUUGAUCAAUCUCAAUUUUUUGGAGAAGAUCUAUUUUACCACUCUGGCAUAAUGACUGACUUUGUAUGUCAUCCUUGUUUCACUGAAAUUUAGUUGAAAGAAAGGGGGAAAAAAAAAAAAAAAAAAGAAGAAGAAUGCGUAAACACCUUAAUUUGAUUGAGGCAUUCCGAGAAUCGAACUCGGGACCUCUCGCACCCAAAGCGAGAAUCAUACCACUAGACCAAAUGCCCUUCUAUUAAUUGUUUUGAACCUUGGAGCUUGACAGCUUGUCAUUUCUUGCUUGUCUGUAUAUUAGCUGUUCUAGACUGCUUUUUGAGUAUUAUUUUUCUAGGAGCACAUUUCACAAAAGAAUUUUAUCUAUUGAUCGUAGGAAAUGAAAGGGAGCCUUGAUCUCAGAAGCUAUAUUUAAUAGACAGUUUUUUAGUUUUUUGUGAUAGAAAGUUGCUACAUGCAUAUGUGUUGUGAAUACCAUUUUUAAAUUGCAAUCAGAGUCAUGGAAAAAUAACGAGCUAUGCAAUGUGUAAUUUUAUGAAGGAUUGUUUCUAGUGCUGCUGCUGCUUUUUCUUCACGCGUAUUCGUACUUAUUUAUAUUUAGCCUGAGUUUGAUCCAUCUCAGUGUCUUGGAGAAGAUUUGUUUUACCAUUCUAGCAUAAUGACUGAGUUGAUUUCAUUUAUGAUAUUUCCCACAAAAUUUAGUUGGAAAAAAAAAAAAAAAAGGUAGGAUUGAUGACCACCUAAAUUUGACUGGGCAUUCAGAAAAUCGAACUCAGGAUUUGCCCCUAAAGCAAGAAUCGCUUUUUGGACACUCAGCUAAUUCUUUACUCCACAUAAGUAUAGAAUGCUCUGGGUUAGCAAGUAUGGAAAUGAAGAAAAAAUUUAUGUUGCCAGUGUCACUAUCACUAUUAUAUAUCUAGAAUUUAUAUUUCCAAAUUUUGGUACGAAUCCAUACUGUAUGCAUCCUGUUUCAGUAGAAUGAACUGCUGACAGAAUUUGCUUUGGUUUUUCACAUGCAGCUGGGCAAGGAUUGACAAGAAGCUGAAGGUUCAAUUUUGUAUUUAACAAGUCACCUUCUUGCCACACAGAAGUGCACAUGUACAUGCUCAAGGUUUUUUUUUUGCAUGAUUUGACAUUCUCAUAAUCAUCUAAUUGUUGUGGUGAGAUCAUACUAUUUUUCUUAUUGAUGACGCAGGUAAUCGCUGUCUGAUAUGUUUUGUUUCAGUAGCUGCGUCGUGCAGGACGAGUUGCCUAGGUGAGCUUAGUGUCAACUAUUAUAUGCGCUUGAAUUUCUGUAUCUUUCUAAGUUGACUAUUGUUUGUAAAUUGUUUAUAAUAGGUCAAACCACAUUUUAUCCACAUAUUUCGUGGAACCUACAAGUACGACCCACUUAUUUGCCACUCAUUUCUAUUUAUUUAUAAUUUAAACCAUUUAAAAACAACUCCCAAGCACGUUUUAAAAUAUUUCCAUUUUUCUACUGUGGACCAUCAAUGGACCUGUUAUUUGGUAGAAUCUUUUCAACAGUUUUGUGCUGAGGUUCCUCAUAAACUUUGUAUUGAUGACUCCAGAGCUGAUAAUAUCAACAAUAUUUAAACCUUUCAGUAGGGCAAUAAAUAUUUUAUGCUUAGAAGACAGGCAAGUGAAUUGUCAAUAGAUAGACCGUUCAGUGGGGAGUAACUGUUUCCUCAUAAUGUUACAUUAUUGAGGCAAUUGAAUUGACAGUAUAUUAUCUUUCCAGUGUGGAAACAACGGUCUUAAAAAUUUUACAUUAUUAAAUCUAGCUUUCGCAUAUGCAAUAUCAGUUUCAGAUGUAAAUUUUUUUUUUCUCUGUCUUGAUUCUUUUAUUUACAAGCAGAUCUGUCCUGCUUGACUAGGAAGUAAAAAGGUGCUUUGUGGCUGACUAAACUAUUGCAUAAAAUGGGGCAUUCUGAGAAUUGAACUUCGGACCUCUUGCACCCGAAACGAGAACCAUACCACUAGAUCAAAUGCCCUGUUGAAUUUUAUUACUCUGUCCCUUGGAUCAUGAACCUGUUUUACAAGUCUGACCUGACGAAGGAUGAACCAAAUCGAACAAACCUUAGAGUUGUAUGAGAAUUGUAGAAGAAUGGAAAAAGCGAAGAGGAGAAAGAAGGGGGAGAGAGGGAAAAAAUAGAUAGCCAGGAGAGAGAGUGCUGUAAUUUUAUUCAAUAAUCAAAAGGCCUCUAACAAUAAAAAACCACCUUCAUUCUUAUACCAGAAAUCCCGAUGAAAAUAUGGAACAUUACCUAAUAAUUAAGGAAAGGGAAUAAAGUAAAUCACUCUAAAUAAUUAUAAAAUAAUUCUUAUUCUACUCAAUGGCAAGUCUUUCACAAUUAUCUUUAUUGAUCUCCAUCAUGGCCUCUCAUUACAUUACCUGGGAUUGUUAAUUGGUAUAACUGGUAAGUGCUUGACAGGAUAUGUGAUGUUUAACAAUGUAACAAAAAUUUGCUUUUUUUCAUUUUCCCUAUACUGACUCCAAAAUGCACUUCAUUUCUCAAUUGUUCUUCUUGGAGAUUGUCAAUUAUGAUAAUUGUUUUUCCUUGUAGUUGAUUUAUUGAGACUUUAAGAAAAAAAUUGUACAGGAUUCAUGAUCACCUUAAUUUGAAUGGGGCAUUCCGAGAAUCGAACUCGGGACCUCUCGCACCCAAAACGAGAAUCAUACCACUAGACCAAAUGCCCUGCUGUAGUCAAUUCUUUUGCCCCUUGAAGCUUGUAAUUUGCUUCUUGCUUGUCAAGUAUAUAAACUGUUCUGGUCUGCCUUUUGACUAUUAUGCUUCCAGACAAGAGUAUGUCACAAAACCCUUUGAUCUAUUCCCCAUGGGCAAUCAAAGGCAGUAUUGAUCUCAGAGGCUACAAUUAACAGUCAACGAGGCAGUUCUCUGGUUUUGGACUAUAAAAAGUGCCUACGUGCAUUCAAAAUGUGAAGUUACUUUUCUGAAAUUGCAAUUUGAGUUAUAUUAUUCAUGAAAAAUUCUUUAAAAAAAAAUUAUUCAUGAAAAAUUAUAAACUGUGAAUGGUAAAAGACUUUUGUGUAAUUCUCAAUGUGGUGUAAAUUUGUGCAGGAUUGUUUGUAGUGAUGCUGGUGCUGCUAAUACUUUUCUUGAAAUGUAAACAUACUUUUUAAUAUUUAUCGUAUGGCUUCGGCAGCAAUCAACAGACCUAGCUCAAGUUUGAUCCAUCCCAGUGUCUUGGCGAAGAUCUGUUAACCAGUUUUGUAUAAUGAAAGAGUUGACUUCAUUUAUGAUAUUUCAUCCUUGUUUCCAUUAAAUUUAAUUAAAAGAAAUAAUAAAAAGAAGUGUAGGAUUCAUAAUCACCUUAAUUUGACUGGGGCAUUCCAAGAGUCGAACUUGGGACCUCUCGCACCCUAAGCGAGAAUCAUACCACUAGACCAAAUGCCCAAUUACUGAUGAUUUUAGCACUCAAAUAAAUCUUUACUCCACAUAAUAAAUAGUAAACACUGGGUGAAGGAAAAUUUUAUGUCUCCAGUGUUGCCAAUCAUUGCGAUAUAUCUAGACUAUAUUCUUCCAAAUUUUGGAAUGUAUACAUACUGUAUACCUCCUGUACAGGUAGAAUGUACUGCUGACAAAAUUUUAUUUCCUCUUGGCCCCUACUCCAAUGUCGUUUAGAUCUCUGGAAAAAAAUAUGCACGUGCUGGUUAAAAAUGUUUUCAUAUGAAGCUGGGCAAGGAGCAACAAGAAGCUGAAGUUUCAGUAUUGGAUUUCAUGCAUUCACCUUCAUGCCAUGCAGAUGUACACAUGUACAUGCUCUCAAGGCUUAUUUGCAUACUAUUUUUCUCAUUGCUGAUGCUGGUAAUUCCUGGCUGACAUGUGUUGUCAAUAGCAGCUGCUUUUAAAUACCUUAUUAUGCGACGCACAGUGAAUUGUGCAGGUGAGCUUAGCGUCAAUUGAUUAAGUUUGCUUCAAUUUUUGUAUCUUGCUAAGUUAUUUGAUGCCAAAACUUAAUAUUUCUAUUUACCGUCGUGGACUUUCAAUACCUCUGUUAUUUGGUUUUUAUAUGCGGUUUAGAGUAAUACACUAAUUCUUGAUGCUUCUUGAUGUAAUAAUAUUCCGUUUUCUAUAUUUUUAGUCUAUAUUUAGUACAAUCUUGUCAGCAUCCUUUGUUUUGAGGUUCCUCUUAAACUUUGGAUCUAUUGACUCUAGAAGUGAUAGAAUCAGCAUUAUUUAAUUAAACCUUUCAGUAGGGCAAUAAUUUUUUUGUGCAUAGGUUGCAUUAUUGAGGGAAGAUAUUGAAUCAAUAAUAUCGAGACCUUUCAGUGGGCAGUCACUUUUUCCUCAUCAUGUAACAUUAUUGAGGCAAUUGAGUCGACAAUAUAUAAUCAUUCCAGUAUCCCAUCAAUUGUCAUAAUAAGGUUUACAUUAUUAAAUCUAGUUUUAGCACUUUGUGAUGUUAAUGUUAGUUAAUUUUUGUUUUCAGUCUUUGAUUCUUUUAUUUCAUAGCAGAUCUGUACAGGUUUGACUAGGAAAUAAAAAAAUUCUUUCUGGUUGACUAAAAUAAUUCAUAAAAUGGGGCAUUCCGAGAAUCGAACUCGGGACCUCUCGCACCCAAAGCGAGAAUCAUACCACUAGACCAAAUGCCCUAUUACUUAUGAUUUUUAGCACUCAUCUAAAUAUUUACUCCACAUAAGUAGUCGUAUACACUGGGUUAAUAAGUCUUGAAGUGAAGGAAAUUUCUUUUUUUUUGGUCUCCAGUGUCACUAUCAUUGUUAUAUGUCUUGAAUUUAUUUAUUUAUUUAUUUUUUUCAAAUUUGUGUAUGCAAUACAUCCUGUUCCUGUAUUAUGAACUGCUGACAGAAUUUUAUUUCCUCUUGUUCCAUACUCCAAUGUCAUUCACAUCUCUGGAAGUAAAGAAAAUAUUCACGUGCUGGUUAAAACUGUUUUCACGUGAAGCUAGGCAAGGAGCGUCAAGAAGCUGAAGCCUCACAGUAGGAUUUCAUACAUUUGCCUUCUUG